rnacentral:rRNA from 1 species
AACGAACGCUGGCGGCAUGCCUAACACAUGCAAGUCGAACGAGACCUUCGGGUCUAGUGGCGCACGGGUGCGUAACGCAUGGGAACCUGCCCUUAGGUUCGGAAUAACUCCCCGAAAGGGGUGCUAAUACCGGAUAAUGUCUUCGGACCAAAGAUUUAUCGCCUUUGGAUGGGCCCGCGUUGGAUUAGCUAGUUGGUAGGGUAAAAGCCUACCAAGGCGACGAUCCAUAGCUGGUCUGAGAGGAUGAUCAGCCACACUGGGACUGAGACACGGCCCAGACUUCUACGGGAGGCAGCAGUGGGGGAUAUUGGACAAUGGGCGAAAGCCUGAUCCAGCAAUGCCGCGUGAGUGAUGAAGGCCUUAGGGUUGUAAAGCUCUUUUACCCGGGAUGAUAAUGACAGUACCGGGAGAAUAAGCUCCGGCUAACUCCGUG